CCAUCUGUGACGCCUCAAAUUCUCUAAAACAACAAUUUCUAAUCACAAUCGACUUUCGUUCAACUUGAUAGCCCCUGCUUGAGAUUUUUGAUACCUAGGUACCGUAAAUGUCGUAGAAUGCAUUCCAAAUAUUACAAAUAUUUGUUCUACUCGAUAUUAUGUUUCCAUUUUUCCGAAAUGGUCGGUGGAACUCAAGAUGACGCUUUGGAUAACAUCACUGAAGUGUUUCAUCGUUUCGAGCUGGUACCUGGUGUAGUUUCUGCACCUCCAAACGAAUUUGUCAACAUCUCGUACGAAAAAAUGAACUGUACUAUCGAAACUACAGACAACGCAUUCAGAGACGAAGUUGAGACUGCGCCUAAAGUCUGGUGGAAUUGUAACGAGUCUCUAUACUACACUUUGAGCGUUCUAGACAUGAACAACAACAGAGAAACCAUAAAACCCAGAUUCCAUCAGAAUGUGACUUGGUGGCGAGAACGUCAAUGGCACAUAUGGCUCGUAGUCAACAUACCAGGAUGUGAUAUUAACAGAGGAGAAACAAAAUUUGAAUACGCCUUGGGCUUGGAACAAAAUACACAUACUCGUAACUGUACCGGCAAAAUUUCUGAUACCUCUGAAAAAAAAAUAAUUAAUUAUUAUGGAUUAUAGUGGACAUGCAUAUUUUGAUAUUUCUCGUCUAUCAGCAACCGGAUGUCACACCAAUGAAGUUCAAUGUAGCACAUCGUGAUAUUUAUGAUGAUCGUUCGGGCUUUGAAAUAGAAAAAUUUGCCAAUCAAAGUAAUUUUGGACCACCAAUGGCUGGGAAUUUCUUGUAUUUUGCAUGACAGACAUCUAGUCUCGAAUUUUACUCAUUUGCUGAUUUCAUUUUUGAGAAUAUUUUUCAAUUUUUUCAAUAAAUAUUUUUAUAGGUAUAA